CUUUGACAAGCCUCAUGCCAGAUCCUGGUAAGAAUGGUGGUACCUGGGGGAUCUCCAAGAGCAGCUUCAAGAGUCAACUAUCCCAGUAAUCCCUACAGUUGGAGAAUUUCGUGCCAGUGGAAAAAUCUAUGGCAUCUCACAAACUGUGAAGCUGAGAAAUCUACCUAGAUCCUGCCACAGAACAAAAUGGCAGCCUCUUUUCUUUCCGUGAAAGGAAACUUUGCAAGAGACGGUAGCUUUCCUACUGGGCUGUUAUCAAAUUAAUGACCUUGCCUCUUUUAAACCCUUACUUUUGAAAGGAUGCAGAAACACAGCAACUAUUGCAGGAUUCAAUGAGACAGAGGAGCAGGGUGAUGCUGGUGUUAGUAAUAAUUUUAAUACUUUUAACGAUAAUAAUAAUAUCUAAUAUUUAUGGGAUGGUUAUUAUAUGCCAAGCCCUAGAACAGCGGUUCUCAACAAGGGGUGAUUUUUACCACGCCCCCCACCCCCAACCCCUGCUCCAAGGGACAUUUGGAAAUUUCCAGAGACAUUUUUGGUGGUGUUGAUGGACAGGAUGGUGUUUGGUGGUUGGGUUGCUACUAACAUCUAGUGGGUAGAAGUUAAGGAAGCUGCUAAAUGUCCUACAAUGCACAAGAUAGCACCCUUGGCCCCCAACAAAGAAUUAUCCCACCCAAAAUGUAAAUAGAGUUGGGGCUGAGUAACACUGCAAUAGACUGAGGCUUUUCCAUGCAUUUAACCUUCACAAUGACCCUAUGAGACACACACUUUUACUAUCCCCACUUUUCAGAUGAGAACAUUUAAGGGACUAGCAUAAAGGAACUAGCUCCAAUUGCUUUGAUCUUUGAACAGCCUCAGGUUUCUUUCUUGAGAUCUAUUGGGAACUAGGAUCAUUGCAGAAAAAUGCAGAUUUGCCCAGAGGCUGGGAAUUAGUUCCCUCCAACGUCAGCAUGAAAGUUACUCAGCUCAGGCUGACCCAAUUCCUAUCCCAUUCUGGGAUGACGCUGACCAACAGCUGGUCAUUGGAGCAGUGGGGAGAAGAUAUUAUAUAAUGUCUACAAAAGUAAUGAAAAGUUGAGUUAACUGCUAAGAUAAGCAACCAGAAAGAUAGAGAGUGAGAAUAUACACUGAUUUAAAAAUAUGUUUUUUCUAAGCAUGAUAUGGAGACUGUUCCCCCACAUCCUGUGUUCUUUAUUCCUAAUUUCAGAUAGUGCUGUGGCAUGGGCUGCUGAAACAAAGGUCUCGAUGCCAUGAGAAUCAGACGAGAGAGGCAAUCUCUACCCUGCAACCUUAUACAGAAUUAGGUCAUCGAAUUCCAAGAGUGUUGGGUCCCCUGGAAGACAACUUCUGUUUUUUCUCUUUUUUUCCUUUUUGAUAAAUGCCUAGCUCCUAGUCAAAAUAUUUAUGACAAGAGACAGGAAAAUCAGGCUUUUUCUUUAAACCAUUUCUCAGUGUCUGGCUUGGAUGUCCCGACUACUUCUCUUUCUUCUGCUCUGUUUUCUAUUCUUUUAUUUUUGUCAACUUUUUCACAGUUUUCCCGAUUUUCACCUUCUCUUCUCUCCUGCAAUGGUGGUUCCCACUACCCAUGUAAAAUGUGUAGGAAGGGAAGAGAGAAUUGUCUAAAUAAUUAGACAGACCAUCUGCUGGGCACAUUGGUGUGGUUGGGGACAUGAGGGUGAUGGCCUCUUUAGUGGUAGUGAAAGAACACUGAAGGUCUCAUCUGAAGCCUCAACUAGAGAAAAAUUGACUUCUAAGCUCACUCAUGUGGUUGUUGGCAGGAUUCAGGACCUUAAGAAGGCACUUGAGAGAGACUGCUACCAAAAGUCACAACUUUAUAUAAAUGAAUUUUGGAAGUGACAGCCCAUCACUUGUGUGUAUUCAACUGAUUAGAAGGAAGCCACUAAGUCCAGCCUGCAUUCCAGAAGAGUAUUACACCAGAGCUUGAAUCCUCAUCAUCUUCACCUUGAGUAGACUGACGAGGAGGAGAAAGAGGAGGGGGUUGUUCUUGCUGUCUAAGGGGUGGCAGAGGUGGAAGAAAAUCCACAUUUAAGUCACCCACAUAGCUCAAACCCGUGUUGUUCAAGGAUCAACUGCAUAUUUAUAUACAUUUCAUAUAUCAGUUAAUACUAAAUUGCGAAACUCGAAAAUGGAUAAUUACCUUUGAGGGACCAGUUAAUGAGACUCCAAAAUGAGUAAGAUUUACCUUUGAGGGCCUGUCCUCAGUCUAGACCAGUAGUCAGCACUAUGUCCUGUGGGUUCAGUCUGCCCUUCACCCCAUCCGUUUUUGUAUAGUUCCUGAGACAAGAAUAGUCUUUACAUUUUUUAAAUGUUUGAAAAACCAAAAGAAGAAUGAUAUUUUGUGACACAUGAAAAUGAUAUGAAAUUCAAAUGGCAGGGCCUAUGAAGUGUUAUUGGAACAUAGUCACAGCCAUUAGUUUACAUACUGUCUAUUAUAGGCUGAAUGUUUAUGUCCUCCCAGAAUUCAUAUGUUGCAAUCUAAUCCCCAAUGUGAUAGUGUUUGGAAGUGGGGCCUUUGGAAGGUUAUUAGGGCAUGAGGCUGGAGCUCCCAUCAAUGGGAUUAGUGCCCUUAUAUAAGAGGCCCCAGAGAGCCCCCACUUCCCUUCCACCAUGUGAGGACACUUAAAAAAAUGCCUUCUCCCACCAUGUGAGGACACUUAAAAAAAUGCCUUCUAUGAACCAGGAAGUGGGUUCUCCCAAGACAUGGAAUCUGCUGGCCCCUUGAUGUUGGACUUUCCAUCUGGCAGAACGUGGUCAAAGAAGGAAGAGAAUCAUCAAUGGCCUUCUUUCCCUCCUCCUUUUUUUUUUUUUUUUAACAAAGAAGCUAAAUGAGUCUAUGUUAAGCCCCAAAGGGAAUUGCGUUCAUUGCAGGACUUUUCGAGGCCUGGUGGAGCCAUUUAUGUAAACAAAUUAUGCAGUUCCUCCUUCAGCAACCUGGAUCCUGCGAGUGAGUGAGUGUGAUGCUCCUACUACAGGCUUUUGUUCUUUUCAUCAGCAAGACUUCACAGAAUGGAGAAAAAUUAAAGAGAGAAAUGAUCCAUGGUGUAUUUCCUUACCUGGCUAUAAACUGGCGUCAUUUUGGCUCCAGGGAGAACAGAAAGAGAGAUCAGCAGUGAGCACAGUACCUGGGAGAAGAAGGAAGGGAGGUCUGUCCUGUUGCCAUCCGGGGAGUGUGCACCUUGGGACGGGAUAGGAACUCUGCACAGAAAUAAACAAGAGCAAAUAGUCAACAGGGGAUCUUUUAGAGGAGAUAAAUCUAUUGGAGCUUUUCAAGAGAGAAAGAGAGACAGAAAUCAGCGUGGCUCAUCAAAAAUAAAAAUAAAAGGAAGACGUAUGUCCAGAAA